UAGGGAAGUCUUUCCACAAUGGGCGAAAGCCUGAUGGAGCAACGCCGCGUGUGUGAUGAAGGGUUUCGGCUCGUAAACACUGUUGUAAGAGAAGAAUGACAUUGAGAGUAACUGUUCAAUGUGUGACGGUAUCUUACCAGAAAGGAACGGCUAAAUACGUGCCAG
rnacentral:rRNA from 1 species